UGGGGAAUAUUGGACAAUGGGCGCAAGCCUGAUCCAGCCAUGCCGCGUGAAUGAUGAAGGCCUUAGGGUUGUAAAAUUCUUUCACCGGGGACGAUAAUGACGGUACCCGGAGAAGAAGCCCCGGCUAACUUCGUGCCAGCAGCCGCGGUAAUACGAAGGGGGCUAGCGUUGUUCGGAAUUACUGGGCGUAAAGCGCACGUAGGCGGGUCGAUUAGUUGGUGGUGAAAGCCCAGGGCUCAACCUUGGAACUGCCAUCAAUACUGUCGACCUGGAGCAUAGUAGAGGUUAGUGGAAUUCCAAGUGUAGAGGUGAAAUUCGUAGAUAUUUGGAGGAACACCAGUGGCGAAGGCGACUGACUGGGCUAUUGCUGACGCUGAGGUGCGAAAGCGUGGGGAGCAAA
rnacentral:rRNA from 1 species